UUUAAGGUCUAAUCUGCCCGAUGAGGGAUUGAAUGGCCGCGGUAUUUUGACCGUGCAAAGGUAGCAUAAUAAUUAGUUUUUUAAUUGGGAGCUAGAAUGAAUGAUUGAACGAGAAAGUAGCUGUCUCAGUUUGAUUUUAUUAGAAUUUUAUAUUUAAGUAAAAAAGCUUAAAUUUUUUUGAAAGACGAGAAGACCCUAUAGAGUUUUAUAUAGAUUUAAGCUUAAAUUUUGUGGAUUUUUUGAGUUUAAAUUAAAGUUUAUAUUUUGUUGGGGUGAUGAAAAAAUUGAAUUAACUUUUUUUUAAUAUAAUAACAUUUAUUUAUGUUUAUUUGAUCCAAUUAUUUUGAUUGUAAGAUUAAAUUACCUUAGGGAUAACAGCGUAAUUUUUUUUUAAAGUUCUUAUUGAAAGAAAAGAUUGCGACCUCGAUGUUGGAUUAAAAUUUAUUUUUGGUGUAGAAGCUAGGAAAUUAGGUCUGUUCGACCUUUAAAAUUUUACAUGAUCUGAGUUUAAACCGGUGUGAGCCAGGUUGGUUUCUAUCUUUAAAAAUUUUAAAUAUUUUAGUACGAAAGGACCAAAUAUUUAUAAUAAUUAUUAUUUUUAGAUGAAUAUUA
rnacentral:rRNA from 1 species